UUCAACAUUCUUCAUAAAGACAUCAAGCUUUUUCCUGAUCUCUUCUAUAGCAACCUUAACAGCAUCUUCAUCAAUAGCAAACUCAACUUUCUUCAAGAGUGAUUCAAUCUCGAUUUCCAAUCGAUCUAUAAGCACCCUGAUACUGUCCAAAUCCUUAAUUGUGAUAAAAGUACCUACAUGCAUUGUAUUGACCAAUUCUUUCUGCCCUUUGACAGCAUCUUCAUAGUUCUUG
rnacentral:misc_RNA from 1 species